GCUGGCUUAGCUCAGCGGUAGAGCAACCGCCUUGUAAGCGGUAGGUCCUGAGUUCGAAUCUCAGAGCCAGCU
rnacentral:tRNA from 1 species